rnacentral:rRNA from 1 species
GCAAGUCGAACGAAGCACCUUGAUUUGAUUCUUCGGAUGAAGAUCUUGGUGACUGAGUGGCGGACGGGUGAGUAACGCGUGGGUAACCUGCCUCAUACAGGGGGAUAACAGUUAGAAAUGACUGCUAAUACCGCAUGAGACCACAGUACCGCAUGGUACAGGGGUAAAAACUCCGGUGGUAUGAGAUGGACCCGCGUCUGAUUAGGUAGUUGGUGGGGUAACGGCCUACCAAGCCGACGAUAAGUAGGCGACCUGAGAGGGUGAGC